ACUGAUCAUGAUAUAGGAAGCG
rnacentral:sRNA from 1 species